GACGAACGCUGGCGGCGUGCUUAACACAUGCAAGUCGAACGGAAAGGCCCUGCUUUUGUGGGGUGCUCGAGUGGCGAACGGGUGAGUAACACGUGAGUAACCUGCCCUUGACUUUGGGAUAACUUCAGGAAACUGGGGCUAAUACCGGAUAGGAGCUCCUGCUGCAUGGUGGGGGUUGGAAAGUUUCGGCGGUUGGGGAUGGACUCGCGGCUUAUCAGCUUGUUGGUGGGGUAGUGGCUUACCAAGGCUUUGACGGGUAGCCGGCCUGCGAGGGUGACCGGCCACAUUGGGACUGAGAUACGGCCCAGACUCCUACGGUAGGCAGCAGUGGGGAAUAUUGCACAAUGGGCGGAAGCCUGAUGCAGCAACGCCGCGUGCGGGAUGACGUCCUUCGGGUUGUAAACCGCUGUCGCCUGUGACGAAGCGUGAGUGACGGUAAUGGGUAAAGAAGCACCGGCUAACUACGUG
rnacentral:rRNA from 1 species